AGGGAGUUUGAUCCUGGCUCAGAACGAACGCUGGCGGCAGGUCUUAGGCAUGCAAGUCGAACGGACGAAGCGGAAGCUUGCUUUCGCCUAGUUAGUGGCGCACGAGUGAGUAACGCGUGGGAAACUGCCCAUCACUGGGGAAUAACGUUUGGAAACGAACGCUAAUACCGCAUACGCCGGAAACGGGAAAGAUUUAUCGGUGAUGGAUGUGCCCGCGUUGGAUUAGCUUGUUGGUGGGGUAAUGGCCUACCAAGGCGAUGAUCCAUAGCUGGUCUGAGAGGACGAUCAGCCACGUUGGAACUGAGACACGGUCCAAACUCCUACGGGAGGCAGCAGCUAAGAAUAUUGGGCAAUGGAGGAAACUCUGACCCAGCCAUGCCGCGUGAAUGAAGAAGGCCUUCGGGUUGUAAAGUUCUUUUAGUCGUGAAGAUGAUGACAGUAGCGACAGAAAAAGCACCGGCUAACUUCGUGCCAGCAGCCGCGGUAAUACGAAGGGUGCAAGCGUUGUUCGGAUUUACUGGGCGUAAAGCGUCCGUAGGUGGUUUGUUAAGUCAGGGGUGAAAUCCCAGGGCCCAACCCUGGAACUGCCUUUGAUACUGGCAGGCUGGAGCGCGAUAGAGGAAGAUGGAAUAUCUGGUGUAGGGGUGAAAUCCGUAGAUAUCAGAUAGAACACCAAUGGCGAAGGCAGUCUUCUGGAUCGUCGCUGACACUGAGGGACGAAAGCGUGGGUAGCAAACAGAAUUAGAUACCCUGGUAGUCCCCU
rnacentral:rRNA from 1 species